UAACCUGCCCAAGAGAUCGGGAUAACACCUGGAAACAGAUGCUAAUACCGGAUAACAACAGAUGAUGCCUAUCAACUGUUUAAAAGAUGGUUCUGCUAUCACUCUUGGAUGGACCUGCGGUGCAUUAGCUAGUUGGUAGGGUAACGGCCUACCAAGGCGAUGAUGCAUAGCCGAGUUGAGAUACUGAUCGGCCACAUUUGGGACUGAGACACGGCCCAAACUCCUACGGGAGGCAGCAGA
rnacentral:rRNA from 1 species